rnacentral:rRNA from 1 species
UAGUGAGUUUGAUCCUGGCUCAGGAUGAACGCUGGCGGUCUGCUUAACACAUGCAAGUCGAACGGAGACCUUCGGGUCUUAGUGGCGGACGGGUGAGUAACGCGUGAGAAUCUGCCCUCAGGAUGGGGACAACGACUGGAAACGGUCGCUAAUACCCGAUGUGCCGCAAGGUGAAAGAUUUAUCGUCUGAGGAAGAGCUCGCGUCUGAUUAGCUAGUUGGUGGGGUAAGAGACUACCUAGGCUUUGAUCUGUAGCUGGUCUGAGAGGACGAUCAGCCACACUGGAACUGAGACACGGUCCAGACUCCUACGGGAGCAGCAGUGGGGAAUUUUCCGCAAUGGGCGAAAGCCUGACGGAGCAAGACCGCGUGA